GUCUACUGCCAUGCCACCCUGGAGGCACCUGAUCUCAUCUGAUCUCCAAAGCUGAGCCUGGUUAGUACUUGGAUGGGAGAAGUCU
rnacentral:rRNA from 1 species